rnacentral:tRNA from 1 species
GUCUCCGUGGCGCAAUAGGCUAGCGCGUCUGACUGUUAUGCUCAUGAGCUGUUAUCAGGAGGUUGGAAGUUCGAGCCUUCCCGGGGACG